rnacentral:snRNA from 1 species
AGCUGUGUGUCCCUCCCGAAGCUGUGUGUCCCUCCUGAAGCUGUGUACUCACUCGGUGAGGACAGUUUUUCUCAGUAGAGGAGGUCCAUUCUUUGGUCAAGGUUUAUAGGCGGCCGUGUUCCCCUGCCAGAACUUCCACACAAGCUUCAAGGUCUAUUUAUAGGACAAGAUAGGGUAAUCAAGCUUCCAGUACUCCAGAUACAUUAAAAUAAGAUAUGAGGUGCUGCAUAUGUCAGAUUGCCUGUGGUUU